rnacentral:rRNA from 1 species
AUUGAACGCUGGCGGCAUGCUCUACACAUGCAAGUCGAACGGUAACAGGUUAAGCUGACGAGUGGCGAACGGGUGAGUAAUGCAUCGGAACGUGCCCGAUCGUGGGGGAUAACGCAGCGAAAGCUGCGCUAAUACCGCAUACGAUCUGAGGAUGAAAGCGGGGGACCGUAAGGCCUCGCGCGAUCGGAGCGGCCGAUGUCAGAUUAGGUAGUUGGUGGGGUAAAGGCUCACCAAGCCGACGAUCCGUAGCUGGUCUGAGAGGACGACCAGCCACACUGGGACUGAGACACGGCCCAGACUCCUACGGGAGGCAGCAGUGGGGAAUUUUGGACAAUGGGCGAAAGCCUGAUCCAGCAAUGCCGCGUGCAGGAAGAAGGCCUUCGGGUUGUAAACUGCUUUUGUACGGAGCGAAAAGGCUCUCUCUAAUACAGGGGGCUCAUGACGGUACCGUAAGAAUAAGCACCGGCUAACUACGUGCCAGCCGCCGCCGUAA